AACGAACGCUGGCGGCAGGCCUAAACAUGCAAGUCGAACGAACCUUCGGGUUAGUGGCGCACGGGUGAGUAACGCGUGGGAAUGUACCUUUUGGUGCGGAAUAACGUAGGGAAACUUACGCUAAUACCGCAUAAUAUCUUCGGAUCAAAGAUUUAUCGCCAAGAGAUCAGCCCGCGUUAGAUUAGGUAGUUGGUAGGGUAAUGGCCUACCAAGCCUACGAUCUAUAGCUGGUCUGAGAGGAUGAUCAGCCACACUGGAACUGAGACACGGUCCAGACUCCUACGGGAGGCAGCAGUGGGGAAUUUUGGACAAUGGACGCAAGUCUGAUGCAGCAACGCCGCGUGAGGGACGAAGGCCUUCGGUUGGUAAACCUCUUUUAGCAGGGAGAAGCGAAAGUGACGGUACCUGCNGAAAAAGCACCGGCUAACUACGUG
rnacentral:rRNA from 1 species